GGGAAGAUCGAGACGAUUCCUUGAGUGACGCGUGCCGAAGGUUUUUCCGUCGAAGACAAUGCCCUAGGUCAGAGGGACAACUGGAACGCCGUAAGAGGGUGGGAGUGCGGAGAAGUAGCUCCUAUAUUAAAUCAUGGCGAGGCCACUUCCCAAAGUCAGUUCUACGUUGAACGCUCAGACAAGAAACUCUUCAUCGGUGACUCUUUCUCCAUCGUUCUAUCGAGCAACACGUUAUUAUCUCUUCUUCUACUUUAUUGUGAAGAUAUCCUUCUGUCUAUUCCUCAAUACAAUCAAGUAUAAAGUAAAAGAAGAAAAUAAAAGAAUUUUUCAAAUAUUAUACUGAAGUACCAAGCUGGUGACUACGUUCUUCAACUAAAUUAUCUCGUGUAUCAAGAGAGAGUAGAAGAAGUAGCUUCCGACGUCUGUCUACGACAAUUUCGGGCAUGAAGUUAACAGCGUGGAAUUCUGUGUGCAUCCUGAUAGUUGUCUUCUUCCUAACGGUUGCCACGUCUGCAUAUCCUGCUGGCAAUCCAGAGAUAACGUAUAACUUGCAGGCGAUUGAGAAUAUGCGACAGAUCCCACAGUGGCACUGUUUACGCUAUAGAAAAUUCGAUCUCGUACGCCGCUGUCGGAAUUACCGUUUAGGAAGGAAACACUGACAAAAACAAACUCAUCGCAAUCCCGUAUGGACGACCGCAACGAAUAAGUCACAAUAUUUCAAGUUUCAUCGACCAGCUGUUCUAAAUGUUCUGCUGCAAAUACUUAAACUUAUAUAUAAAUGAAAUGAGAUGUGGCACGUCAUAUUAACACUUUGGAAUUACUUAUGAACUUAGUUGAUAAAUGCAACUUGCAUAGAUUAUAAUUUAAUUCUUCGCGUCUCGUUAUUUACUGCAAGACUGUAUUUCCAAGACUUCAAAAUUUAUCUUCAUCUUUUAAUUUGUAUAAAAUAGAAACAGGAAAGAAAAUAGAUAAAAAGAUGAGAAUAUCUUACGGGAUUAACAGUUUCCAUUUUCCUAAGAUUAAAACUUCGAUAAAGAUUACUCUAUAUUGUAUUAAGUUAUUAAUAUUACUUGUACUUCUAUAUUUCCUACUUAAUUAUUUAUACUAUAUUGUACGAGAAAUUGUGUAUAUAUAAACGCUCUUUGAUCUCAUUGUAAGAUGAGAAUAUGUUCUAGAAUAAAAUUAUUUUUUCUAUCACGAAA
rnacentral:lncRNA from 1 species